rnacentral:rRNA from 1 species
UACAGAGGUCUCAAGCGUUGUUCGGAUUCAUUGGGCGUAAAGGGUGCGUAGGCGGCGCGGUAAGUCGGGUGUGAAAUCUCGGAGCUUAACUCCGAAACUGCAUUCGAUACUGCCGUGCUUGAGGACUGGAGAGGAGAAUGGAAUUCCUGGUGUAGCGGUGAAAUGCGCAGAUAUCAGGAAGAACACCCGUGGCGAAGGCGGUUCUCUGGGACGGUACUGACGCUGAGACGCGAAAGCGUGGGGAGCGAACAGG